rnacentral:lncRNA from 10 species
CGCAGACGCUCCCCGCAGACGCUCGGCAGGUGUCUUGAUAUUAUCAUCUGCUGAGGGUGGAGCUGAGGGUGGAAAGGGAGUGAGCUGACGCUCGGAAGGUGUCUUGAGAUCAUCCGCUGAGGGUGGAAGGCAGGUGUCUUGAUAUUAUCAUCUGCUGAGGGUGGAGCUGAGGGUGGAAGGGGAGUGAGCUGACGCUCGGAAGGUGUCUUGAGAUUAUCAUCCGCUGAGGGUGGAAGCGGCCCCCGCAGACGCUCGGCAGGUGUCUUGAUAUUAUCAUCUGCUGAGGGUGGAAGGGCAGUGAGCUGACGCUCGGAAGGUGUCUUGAGAUUAUCAUCCGCUGAGGGUGGAAGGGGAUGGAGCAGACACUCGGCACGUGUCUUGAGAUUAUCAUCCGCUGAGGGUGGAGCUGAGGGUAGAGCUGAGGGUGGAAGGGGAGUGAGCAGACACUCGGGAGGUGUCUUGAGAUUAUCAUCCGCUGAGGGUGGAAGGGGAGUGAGCAGACACUCGGGAGGUGUCUUGAGGCUCAGGGAGUUAUCAGUUAUAGAAUGUUGUUGAGUUGGAGGAGGUGGCUGGUGGCCCAUCCUGUUUUUUAAAGUUUCAGCUGUGAGGU